CCGCGCAGGGCUACGCGAGCGCCGGCGGCGGCGGCGGUUGCGCAGUGGCGGCGGUUGCGCAGUGGCGGUACAUCCGGGCGCUGGGGCAGGAUGAAUGCUCCUUUCCAAGAUGGCGGCGGAGGGAGGAGGGAAGGAGAUGAACGAGAUUAAGACCCAGUUCACUACCCGGGAGGGGCUGUACAAGCUGCUGAGCCAUUCGGAGUACAGCCGGCCGAACCGGGUGCCCUUCAACUCGCAGGGCUCCAACCCGGUCCGCGUUUCCUUCGUCAACGUCAACGACCAGAGCGGCAACGGGGACCGGCUCUGCUUCAAUGUGGGCCGGGAGCUCUACUUUUAUAUCUACAAGGGGGUUCGCAAGGCUGCAGACUUGAGUAAACCAAUAGACAAAAGGAUAUACAAAGGAACACAGCCUACAUGCCAUGACUUCAAUCACUUAACAGCAACAGCAGAAAGUGUGUCUCUUCUAGUGGGCUUCUCUGCAGGCCAAGUCCAACUUAUAGACCCAAUUAAAAAAGAAACUAGCAAAUUAUUUAAUGAGGAAAGACUAAUAGACAAGUCCAGAGUAACCUGUGUAAAAUGGGUACCAGGUUCGGAAAGCCUUUUCCUAGUAGCUCAUUCCAGUGGCAAUAUGUACUUGUAUAACGUGGAGCACACUUGUGGUACCACAGCCCCGCACUACCAGCUACUUAAACAAGGAGAAAGUUUUGCAGUUCACACUUGCAAGAGUAAAUCCACAAGAAACCCUCUGCUUAAAUGGACAGUAGGGGAGGGUGCCCUGAAUGAAUUUGCCUUUUCCCCAGAUGGGAAGUUCUUGGCGUGUGUGAGCCAGGAUGGUUUUCUUCGCGUAUUUAACUUUGAUUCAGUGGAAUUGCAUGGUACAAUGAAAAGCUACUUUGGAGGACUGCUGUGUGUGUGUUGGAGUCCCGAUGGGAAGUACAUAGUGACAGGUGGAGAGGAUGACUUGGUAACAGUUUGGUCUUUCGUGGACUGUCGAGUAAUAGCGAGAGGCCAUGGACACAAAUCGUGGGUCAGCGUUGUUGCAUUUGAUCCAUAUACCACUAGCGUAGAAGAGAGUGACCCAAUGGAAUUUAGCGGAAGUGAUGAGGAUUUCCAAGACCUUCAUUUUGGCAGAGAUCGAGCAAAUAGUACGCAAUCUAGGCUAUCCAAAAGGAACUCUACAGACAGUCGUCCAGUAAGUGUUACUUAUAGAUUUGGUUCAGUAGGCCAGGACACACAGCUCUGUUUGUGGGAUCUUACAGAAGAUAUCCUUUUCCCCCACCAACCUCUCUCAAGAGCAAGGACACAUACAAAUGUCAUGAAUGCCACAAGUCCACCUGCUGGAAGUGGUGGAACUAACCCAGGAAGUAAUGGAAACAGUAUCACAACACCUGGAAACUCUGUACCCCCUCCUCUUCCACGGUCAAACAGCCUUCCACACUCUGCAGUCUCAAAUGCUGGCAGUAAAAGCAGUGUCAUGGAUGGUGCCAUUGCUUCUGGCGUUAGUAAAUUUGCAACCUUAUCGCUACACGAUCGGAAGGAAAGACACCAUGAAAAAGAUCACAAGAGAAAUCAUAGCAUGGGACAUAUAUCUAGCAAGAGCAGUGACAAACUGAACCUAGUUACUAAAACCAAAACGGACCCAGCUAAAACUUUGGGAACACCUCUCUGUCCCCGAAUGGAAGAUGUUCCCUUGUUAGAGCCUCUUAUCUGUAAAAAGAUAGCACAUGAAAGACUGACUGUGUUAAUUUUUCUUGAAGACUGUAUAGUCACUGCUUGUCAGGAGGGAUUUAUUUGCACAUGGGCAAGGCCUGGUAAAGUGGUAAGUUUUAAUCCUUAAUGCUGCAUCAAAGAACUAGAACUCUGAAUAGGUAGUUUUCUUGAAAUAUAAAUGAAUGUUGAAUAUAAAAUUUCUUUAUGCUUAAUGUAAAAAAAAAAUAAAACUCCUCAGAGCCAUACUUUUGGAUACUGCAUGCCAUAUUUCUGAAUGAUUUGAAGUGUCUUGGAUACAAUUACUACGUCUAGUUGCCUUCCAGCAGAAGAAAUAAAUACUGUGCAUCUAAACUAUUGAUCAGUGUUCUUAUACUUAAACAUAACCACAAUAUGGUGAAAGCUAUUUAUGUAAAAAAUGGAACUUAGAACCUGUAAAUCACUAAAAUAAUGAUAAACCUUCUAAUGUUUUAUACAAAAAUCUAGCACUCCCUAUGAGCGUAGCUUACGAAAAGCUGCUGCUUUUAAGUCUAAUGAGAAAAGUGAGCCUCUGAAAAAAAACGAAAACCAAAGUGUUUAUUUUCUCCAUACUUCUUUGUGGUGGCCUGCAUUAACGUGAAACCACUUCUUAUUGAAACGUCAGCCUUUUUAUGCACAGAUUUGUGAGCCCUUUACUAACUGUAGUUUAUGCUCUUGAAAUUGUGAAUCACUGAUAUCAAGGAAAUCGUAAUUUUAGCCAGGUCUUGAUUUAUGUAUUUAAGUUAGGGAAAAUCAUGCAAGCUUUCUCUAGUAACUAGUUUCAGUGUUACGUUACUGUCAGUUUAGUUAGGCAAUUUGAUCACAAGGAGCUUGUGCUUUUUUGAUGGCACCUGGUCUAUUGAUUGAACCUUCAUUAAAUAUAUAUUACUAGCUUUAACUCUUGUUGUUAAGGACACAGAUAAAACUUUAUUUUCCUUCUGUCCAAUGUAUAGCAAGCGAAAUUUUGAAUGAAGCUUAAUGUGGUGAUUAUUUUAUUUAAAAAGUACUUUGUGCUACUAUAGCUUUGUUUGCAAGCGACCUUUAAAGGAAUACAGCUAUGAAAACAUGACUAGAGCUGACCUAGCAAGAAGGGCCACUAUUUUUGUGAAAAUUUCUGAAAGGGCAUGGAGGCUAUCAGCUGAAGAAAAAUAAUUGGGUAGUACUGGAAUAUUGCCACAUUGGACAAUGUAAAUGAAAAUCUCACGUUUGUUAGUUUUAACCAUUUGGUUCAUAAAUCUGAGUUUUGAAGUGGGGAUACUGUAUAUAUUUAUAUGCCACAUCCUCCUCGCUCUAAACUUGUGAGUAAAACUCAGUUUUGUACAAUAUUAAGUUCCUUUGAGAUAGAAUCAAAUUUCACAGCAUAGGUAUAUGUAAAGAGCUAUGUCUGCUCAGCAUCUUAAUGCAUAUUUUUGAAGGCUGAAGCUAAAACUGGUAACCCCUGUUCUGGGAAGAAGGAAAGAGGGUCUUACCAAAAGUAUUUUUCUACCCAAGAAAUACAGAUACAGCAUUAAUUAAAAAAAAAAAAUAAAGCAAAGGAACACCCCCUCCUCAAAACAUUAAACUAUUAAAAUGCCUGUCCUAAAGUGAAAUACUAAAGCAAUUUUCACUUUGACUCAGUACAAUUCAUGUGUCUUACGAAUUAACUUUUAUACUCAUACAGCAGUGCCUCAGAUUUCUGUUGUUAUCUAUAUUUAAUUUUUGUUCUAAAGAUCCUGUAGGUACUGCUAGACACUACACUGUUAAAUUUAUUUUCAGUGGCUGAGGUGGGUUUUGUUAGACUGAGUGUAACUUAAAUAUUUCUGUGUAUUGACUUUGAUUUGGAAUAUGACAUUUCAAAUAUUUCAGAGAUAAAGUAUGCAGUACCAAAAAUCAGGAUUUAUGUAUUGGCCAAUAUGGAAAACUUUAAUUACAGAGUGAAAGCCUCUGAACCUUGCUGCUUCUUCCAUCAUUGCCUCAAAAGGCCUUCAUUAAAUUCAUGCUACUGCCAGCCUAAGGAAAGAAUUGGAUGGAAAACUGAAGCAGGCUUGCAGUGUCUAACACAAUUUCCACUGAGCCAGUGCUCCUUUCCCUCUCAUUUUUAAUAGUCAUCAAAAGAUGCUCUGGAUAAUUGGACACUGUGUGACAGGUUCUCCUCAUUUUUCUGUUUGGGCUGGUGCUGCCCUUAGUGAAAACGAAUCCAGAAGUGUCUCUUCAGCCGUGAUCCUUAUGAUAGCUGAUAGGCUGCACAGUGCUCACAGAGUGUCCUGACUGUUCAUGAACUCUCCAAAUUACUGCUUCAGUGUAUCAUCAUACCUUGAGCUUCCUCACUGGAUAUACCGUUCUUGCAUUGCACUUCCAAAACUGUUAUACUAAUUCCCAGUCAGCCUGAGGUGAAGUGAAUGUCAAAAUCCAAUUAAAACCAAGUUGAACGAGGCUCAGGGUUCCUUAGUUUCAAUUUUUCACUCUUAUUUUUUUGUUUAUCUGUUUCUGUGGAAGAAGGUUCAUGGCGGUGAAAAAAAUAGGUUGCCUUAACAAGAGUAUGAACUUUCUUCUCCAUGUGGUGACAAUUAGCUGUUGCCUCUCUGUGCUAUCAUUCCCAGGCCCCGAUGGGUAACCUAAAAGGGAUCAUAGAUCUGUUGUGUUAAUCUGAAAAUGCAGGAAAAUAAUUUUAGAGGAAAACAAGGUAGGCUUCAAGUGCUACCUUUAUGGCUACUUCAAACUAAGUUACAGGACCUGCAGAAGCAAUUCCAACAAAACCCAAAACCAACCCACAAACCCCAACAACAGCCCCCCUCAAAAAACCAAAGUGGCACCUGGAUAUGCAAAACAGGUUUUCUCUGAACUGAGUGGAAAGAGGAACUCUCUACAUGAUUUCUGUGUCCAACUUCAGAAUUAAGUAUUCGCCUUCUUGUACAGCGACUCCAUUUUACCUACGUUGAAGUUGCUGAUCAGUGGUUUCCUUUGUAAGAAAGCUCAAGGUAAGAUAGGCUAGAAGUAUGAAGAGGUGAAAUGGCAGUGUAUAACCUAGCAAGAGAAACAUGCUACCAUUUUGUAAAACAAAUGCACAUGAAAUUUAUUUAUUUGACUUAUUGUACAGGAAAACUUAGACUUAAAUUAUAACAUCCUUGAAUUUUCUAGUUAACUACAAUUGUAGUACAGUAUCAUGUUUUAGUAUGGCUUCUGUUGUAGUGAAAGUACUUAACCAUUCAUGUACUAUAUUUGAGUGAGAUGAGCAGCUAUACAUACUAAUUCUUCCUCAAUGGAAAGGAGCAUUUCAUCAUUACAAUUGAAGUUCAAUUGCUGGUAUUUAAGUACUAUCAAAUAGAUUUCUUUCGACGUGAUACGGUAUCUGUAUAAACUUCAGGGAUGACUAUAGUAAAACUGAAACACAGCUAUAUGACUUCAGGUUACCAUGCUAAAAUUUGAAGCUUUCUGUAAUGUGCAUAAUAGCAAAGUUGCACAGAGCAUACCCGCGUUAUCAGGGUGAACUUAAACCUAGUACACUGGUGUGAUAUUUAUAGCAAGGUAUGUGUGCCCGCGUGCGUGUGUGAGGAGGUGUGACUAGCGGCUCCAGUAAAGCCAGGAGAGAUCAUAACCCUGUUAAAGGCUUUAUGAUGAGGAUGUCUGGAUUAGGAAAUAACAUGACUUUUACUAAACACUUUUUAGAAAACCCAUGUUCUGAAUUAUCACCUCUUGCAAUUUGAUGAUGUACUCGGAAUGACUGUAUAUGUCUGCCCCUUUAACAACGUAAAGCUACUAAAUUAAUAUUUAAAAUGCUGGCCUGCUUAUGUUACGGUAAUAAAAUUUGUGUCAGUUAAUUUACUGUCAAUUUACAUGUAAAGGUUAAAUAUUUUUUUUUUCCUGCAUUUUAUGAAUUCUGUAUACUGGAGUUUGUUAAAGAUUGACAUGUUAGGUGAUACUGUACAAAAUUGUAUUGACUACCUUUAGUGAAAAACAAAAGUAAAAUUCAUAUGUAUUUCCUUUUUACACUUCCAUCUAAUUUCUUGACAACUUGAAUAAAUUUCAUAGAGCCUUUCUAACAUGAACUAUUGUUAAUUUAACUGUUGCAAUAAUUAAGCUUUAAGAAGUAUUGUUGGUAUAUUUAUAAUUUUAAGAAGAUCAUGUUUGUUUCAUACUGCUUAUUUUUAGCUGUUCUAUUGUCACUGUUACAGCUGAAGAACUUUACUAAAUACUUGACAUUACAAAAUAACUCGCUGGGGUUGUCCUCUGUAUACUGAUGUUAAAUAAAAAUGUGUGAUUGAACUGUAAA